CGAGUGAACAGGGAAAAGCCCAGCAUCGAAGCCUGUAGCCGCUUGGUUACUAGGCACUGUGAUGUUUAGGUCUGCCCGUGGAGGCGCUGUCCCACCCUAUGUCCAGCAAUGAGUACGGCUGUGACCUGGCCCAAAGAGGGUGAAAGGCCCGUGAGGGUGGGAACCAGAUAGGCCAGUGCUUCCCUGUGCAGACCUUGGAGUCGGGUUGUUUGUGAAUGCAGCCCAAAGUGGGUGGUAAACUCCAUCCAAGGCUAAAUACUAACACGAGUCCGAUAGUAAACAAGUACCGUGAGGGAAAGUUGAAAAGUACUUUGAAGAGAGAGUAAAGAGUGCGUGAAACCGCUUACAGGUAAACGGGUGGAGUUGAACUGCAAUCUGUGAGAAUUCAGCUGACGGGUAUAACGUGAUCUUGGUCACGUGGGUUAUGCUCUGAGUCUGUUUAGCUACGGGUCCUGCUCUUCGGGGUGGGAAGUGCUGAGCACUAAUCAUGUGUUGCACGCUCAGAGUUGGCUGGUAGACCCGCUUGUCAGUGCACUUUCUCAUGGUGUUCACCACGACCGGCAUGCUGUCUGUCUGCUAUGGUUAAACCGGUCCUGUACUGUCCUUGUGGCGCUACGGGUUCGGGAUGGCAGGUAGCCUUUUCGUGUGCGCAAGCGCUUGAUUAGGUGUAAUCGGCUGACCUUAGCAGUGCUGUGCAGUGUGUCGGAGACGGCGGCUUGUGGUGCGUGCAUGCGUGCCUGUUCGGCCGGCAGUUUUGGGUUUGAUUGUCAUGUGCAUGUAAAUGCAUGCCUGAUGAUAGCUUGAGGCUGUUCGGUUGGCGGUUGCGUGUGUGGCACUUUAAUGGGCCAACAGUCUGUGGUGUAGUGGUAGACUAUCCACCUGACCCGUCUUGAAACACGGACCAAGGAGAUUAACAUGUGUGCGAGUCAAUGGGCGUUACGAAACCCAAAGGCGAAGUGAAAGUAAAGAUCCGGCACGUCUGGAUUAAGGUGAGAUUCGGCCGUUUCUCAUGCGUGGUACUACCAAGCAAUUGAUCGGUCGACGCAUCACCGGCCCGUCCCAUGGCUGGUACCUAUGUACGGUCGGGGCGGAGCAUGAGCACACAUGUUGAGACCCGAAAGAUGGUGAACUAUGCUUGGGGAGGUUGAAGCCAGAGGAAACUCUGGUGGAGGACCGUAGCGAUUCUGACGUGCAAAUCGAUCGUCAAACCUGAGUAUAGGGGCGAAAGACUA
rnacentral:rRNA from 1 species